rnacentral:lncRNA from 1 species
UUGUCAUGAAGAACAAGCCAAGGAGACUGUGUCAAAUGUGAUAUUAUAUACCUGGCCUGAAAAGUAUCAGUGAGAGUAUCAUAGCUGAGCUCAGCAUCAUAGCAUGACAACAUGAACCCUACAUGCCCAUUCUGCUCUUACACCAAAAGGUCACUACUACUUUAAUAAUUAAAUCCAGAAAAAAGCUUUGAAUCCAGUAAGUAACUAUAUUUGUGAAUUGAUUUGUUACCUCACGGUUGUAAACUUGAGCAGGGAACCAAAAACGAAGAGUUUCAAGGGAGAGGGAGAGGCUCAUGGAGGAAUCAAGUGGCAGAGAAGACGCAGCAUAUCUCUUCCUCUUAUUAUCAUCAUCAUUUAGGAAAACAGAAGAAACAGAUCGGAUCAAAGAGAUGAUUUUGUCA